rnacentral:rRNA from 1 species
UACGAAGGGGGCUAGCGUUGCUCGGAAUCACUGGGCGUAAAGCGCACGUAGGCGGCUUUCUAAGUCAGGGGUGAAAUCCUGGAGCUCAACUCCAGAACUGCCUUUGAUACUGGGAGCUCGAGUCCGGAAGAGGUGAGUGGAACUCCGAGUGUAGAGGUGAAAUUCGUAGAUAUUCGCAAGAACACCAGUGGCGAAGGCGGCUCACUGGCCCGGAACUGACGCUGAGACGCGAAAGCGUGGGGAGCAAACAGGG